CAAACCUGAGUGACGCUGAAAUCCCAGGCACCAGGUCGCAACACCCAGAGCAGGGAGCUAGGCCAAGCCCUGUGGGACAGAAACUGCUGCUGCAGGCUGAGCACAGGGUGGGCUUGCUCUCCAACCCCCUCGUCUAGGCCUCCCAUCCAUACUGUGCCAAGAGAAAUAUAUGUUUGACUAGGCUGGGGCCCGGUGUUGGGUUAAUCCAGCCUUGGAUGUGGUGACCCAUCUGGAGCCUUCCCACAACCCACUGGUGGGUUGGGACCCACUGUUAGGGAAACACUGCAUACGGGGUAAACUGAGAGAGGCUUUGUCUAGAACCUCAGUGAUUAUCUGCAGUCUCAGAAAUAGUGGUCUUAUCUUCGCAAUCAACUUGAUCCUCCAUCAAACACCUUCAGACAGGACUUGAUCUCCAGUGGGAAUAUUAGAACAUUGCUAAAUAUUAAUGGCGACAUCAUCCAACAUUGCUCCAUCACUGGAUGAGAACCCAGGCAGAAAGACAGAUGAGACUUUCCUUUGUGACAUUCCCAUCUACAGAUAGUGGGUCACCUAUCACCAAUCUGAAGUGAAUGAAAAUGAAGGAUUGUGAGAACUUCAAGAAAAAAAAUAACAGGAAGAGAAAAGCUGGGGGAAUCCUAUCUGGCUGUACACAUCAAAGGUUUCAAUUAUCUAAUUUGUACAUCCCCAUCUGAGAUCCUAGAUAAGUACUCAGGUAGCUAACCUGAGUCAGCGCCCAUACCUCCAUGGCCACACUAGUUUUAGUGGGCUAGUUCAUACACAGUUAGCCUAUGUACAUUUACCAGAGCUGAGAAUUUCAACUCCCAGCUGCAGUGUAGUUGUACCUGGAGUGGAGCAGAAGGGCCUUUUGGAAGAAGCAUAUUUUAAGGAGGAACUUGAAAGGCGGUGGAUGCAUGGCUCCGGGGAGGCCUGAUCCCUUUGAGGUCAAUGGAAAGACACCUAUUGACUUUAAUGGGCUUUUGAUCAAGCUCUGGAGGACUGAACAUGUCC